AAAUGUGUUGCUGAAAAAGCGCCUGUAGGUCGACCCUCGGAAAAAGGACAUCUGGAAUUUCCUUUUUUAUUCUGGAACGCAUUCAACGUUUUCAUUUCCUGUUUAAAACGUUUACUGUCUAUUCUAGUGCAUGCGAAUUGAACACUUCCUGGUUGACGUGGCUCGGCUAUUUUUCAGGUACUAGCUGUGCUUGGCUGGUACUCGUUUAAAAUCUCGUGCAUGCGCAUUGAACACUUCCUGUUUGACGUGUAGACUGUUGUGGUUGGUGAGGAAAUUUUAAAUCGUCGAAGGCGAUAUAUGAGUAACAACUGUCAUAAGAAUAUAAAGGAUAAGAAUUCCAACGAAAGAUGUUCUCUGUCUGUCGCUCGUCCAUUUCUUGUUUACUGAGUUAGUCAAAUGUUCGACAUUGACGGGCAAUGGUAGGAAAUUUUCGAGACAGUUUCUCAGCAACUAGUUAUCACAGCCUCUUGAUAUUUGGUAUACAGCAUCAACAUGUGGUCCCAUAUUGUGGUAUUCGAUUUCAGGUAUGUCGUUCAUCCACUUCCUGUUUACCAACUUAAUUAAUUUUUCUACAUUGAUGGUGAAUUGUAAUAAAAUUUCAUAACUACGGCCUCGUGAUAUUUGGUAUAAAAUGCAACCCGGCCAUUUCUGCCUUUGACCCGUUUUAUGUACUAUUAUAUACAAAUAAACCUAACAUGCAUUGUGUAAUGGUAAUUUAAGGACACAAUUACUAAAAAGUCUGAAUAGAUAAGGUGACCCUCAUUUCCAAAACCCGGGGUUAUUUUUUUA